rnacentral:rRNA from 1 species
AGAGUUUGAUCAUGGCUCAGGACGAACGCUGGCGGCGUGCCUAACACAUGCAAGUCGAGCGGAGAUAUUAAAGGGUAACCGGAGAUAUCUUAGCGGCGGACGGGUGAGUAACGCGUGGGUAACCUGCCUUUUACAGGGGGGAUAACAUCGGGAAACUGGUGCUAAUACCGCAUAAAGUUAGUCUGUGGCAUCAUAGAUUAACCAAAGGAGUCAAAUCCGGUAAGAGAUGGACCCGCGUCCGAUUAGCUAGUUGGUGGGGUAAAGGCCUACCAAGGCAGCGAUCGGUAGCCGGACUGAGAGGUUGAACGGCCACAUUGGGACUGAGACACGGCCCAAACUCCUACGGGAGGCAGCAGUGGGGAAUAUUGCGCAAUGGGGGAAACCCUGACGCAGCAACGCCGCGUGAAGGAAGAAGGCUUUCGGGUUGUAAACUUCUUUGAAUGGGGAAGAAUAAAUGACGGUACCCAUAGAACAAGCCACGGCUAACUACGUGCCAGCAGCCGCGGUAAUACGUAGGUGGCAAGCGUUGUCCGGAAUUACUGGGUGUAAAGGGCGUGUAGGCGGGGAGGCAAGUCAGAUGUGAAAUUCCAAGGCUUAACCAUGGAGCUGCAUCUGAAACUGUUUCUCUUGAGUAUCGGAGAGGAAAGUGGAAUUCCUAGUGUAGCGGUGAAAUGCGUAGAGAUUAGGAGGAACACCAGUGGCGAAGGCGGCUUUCUGGACGAUAACUGACGCUGAGGCGCGAAAGCGUGGGGAGCAAACAGGAUUAGAUACCCUAGUAGUCC